CAGCAGCAAUACGCAUCUAGUCUGGGAAGAAGUUUGGAACUCUCAGUUCAAGUGAGAAAACUAGUAAAGCCCAGUGUGCUUCGGCUGCAAAGAGCAGCCUCCUGGGCAGUGGAGGCACCAGGUGCUUGCCUGGGCUGCCCGAGGGGACCUGGGAGACGGUC
rnacentral:snoRNA from 1 species